rnacentral:lncRNA from 1 species
UCAACAUGUAGGUCACGAGAUUAAAUGCAUGCCUCUCCAUAUAUAUAAAUGUGUACUGCAGCAUUUAGACACGUAUCUAUUCCAAAGUAGAAGAUAACACGCUAACCAGUGUUAACAAAAUCAGACAUACGAUCCAGACAACGCCCCGCGCGCCCCAAACAACUGCACUUGAGUUGAAUUCUGAUCUAGUUCAAAUUUUGCCUUGAAAGCUUCUGAUGUUCUGAUCUCUCCAACCAUGAAUAAAAGGACCAAAUAAGUAAAAUAUUCACAUGAUAAAUGUCUCUUAGGCUAAUCAUCAGCAUGCUGCACAGUUACGUACUUUGCAAGUGCUUAUAUGCUACCCCGUCUUCAAAUAACUAUAGUUUUAGAUUUCGUGCAGACCAAACUGUUUUAAGUUAAACUAGAUUUAUGCAAACAUCAGCAACAUCCAUAUUUUUAAUGUAAGAAUUUAUUGUAAACAUACAUUAUUCAAUAUUUAAUCUAAUAAAGUACUGGUUAUCAGCAACAUAUAUAGAUAUUGAUUUUUUUAUAUAUAUGAUCAAACUUUAAAGUAUUUGACUUUUUAGGAAAUGAAAAUGGAACUUACUUUUAUUUUUUGGGACAGAGGAAAAAGUACAAGUGAGGUUCAAUCAAUCGUGGGUUGAGCCCCUAAACAUGGCAGCACUUGAUGUUCCAUCGGAAAAGGACACAUGCAUUCACCGGAAGUACAAAUCGACAUACUAUCAUCUUGGGGACACCACUGUCCUAAGACAAGAUUCCAAGACAUCGUUUUCAUGAACACAACGAGGAGAGCACGGCCUCCGCUUGGCCCGACUUUCACGGGCUCCUGCUCCGGCACUUGUCUUACAAGAUUAACACAGUCUAAGAUUAAUUUGAUCAUAUUGUGUAAUACAUAAAAGAAUACAGAUUUACUAGCAUAUAACUAAACUGAUGCUAGUACUUCAUAAAUAUUGAUUAAACCAUGACAAUAAACACACAGA